CCCGGUUUGCUUUUCUAUCUCUUGUUCUGCAGUUGAGAGCUGUACCACCACCUGUGGCCUGCACAAGCUCUCUGCAAACAUGGCAUCGACCAAGGACAAAGGGGAUCCAUGCAGAGCCGGUUCAGGACUUGGUUGUUAGGAGACCAAAGCCAUCUGCCAGGAGUGUAUGCAAAUCAACACUCUAUCAAGCAUACACAGGAUCCCUCCCAGACCCGCAAGUCUUGUCUCUUGGGGAAGGACUGAAAAACCUCAGGCCGCAACCACUAAUAUCCUCAGUGCUGCAUGGCUUGUCUCAACUCUCCAUGGUCGACUCCAGGUUCGGACCUGUGCCGCGAGGUUCACCCCUGUCCUACCAGUGUCCUCCUGUGGUCAAACGCGGAAAUUAUGUCCAACACCCAGGUGCACCAACAUUCCCUAAACUGCCUUUAGAGGGGUCAACAUUUCCCACUACUUUUCCAAACGUUGACCCAAACUCCCAACAGUUUCUCCAUUUGGACAGCUUAACUGUGACACACGAGAUGGCAGCUGAGAGAGAGGAGCAGACACGUGAGCAGUCUGAGUGCCCAUUAUGGCAAGCUUUACGCAAGCCUAGAGUGACAGCUAGUAGGUUCUAUGAGGUUAGCCAUGUGAAAGGGCCGUCUUCUGGUCAGACCCUGGCAGGGCGGAUACUUAAGGGAGUACACCAGACUCCCGCCAUGAAAAGGGGCCUUGAACGCGAGCCACAGGUGCUGGAACAAUAUUCAAAACAUUUCAAUGUAAAUGUCUCACGCUGUGGAUUUGUUAUCCAUCCCGAUGCUCCUCACAUCGGGGCUAGCCCCGAUGCGAGGGUAUAUGAACCUAGUGCCAUUCCGUGUUUUGGGCUUGCUGAAGUUAAUUGCCCAGACAUCUCCAGCAUUUCUGAGGCAGGACAUGUAAAAAUUGUGAAUGGUCAGGCAAAACUGAAGCAGAAUCAUAAAUACCACUGGCAGGUUCAAGGCCAACUGGCAGUAACUGGAUUGAGUUGGUGCGAUUUUAUAACAGAUACUGAGGGAGACUUAACAGUCGAAAGGGUCUG